rnacentral:rRNA from 1 species
GAUGAACGCUGGCGGCGUGCCUAAUACAUGCAAGUCGAGCGAACAGACGAGGAGCUUGCUCCUCUGACGUUAGCGGCGGACGGGUGAGUAACACGUGGAUAACCUACCUAUAAGACUGGGAUAACUUCGGGAAACCGGAGCUAAUACCGGAUAAUAUAUUGAACCGCAUGGUUCAAUAGUGAAAGACGGUUUUGCUGUCACUUAUAGAUGGAUCCGCGCCGCAUUAGCUAGUUGGUAAGGUAACGGCUUACCAAGGCAACGAUGCGUAGCCGACCUGAGAGGGUGAUCGGCCACACUGGAACUGAGACACGGUCCAGAAUCCUACGGGAGGCAGCAGUAGGGAAUCUUCCGCAAUGGGCGAAGCUUGACGGAGCAACGCCGCGUGAGUGAUGAAGGUCUUCGGAUCGUAAAACUCUGUUAUUAGGGAAGAACAAAUGUGUAAGUAACUAUGCACGUCUUGACGGUACCUAAUCAGAAAGCCACGGCUAACUACGUG